CCUACGGGGCGCAGCAGUAAGGGAUAUUGGUCAAUGGGGGAAACCCUGAACCAGCAACGCCGCGUGAGGGAAGACGGUUUUCGGAUUGUAAACCUCUGUCCUCUGUGAAGAUGAUGACGGUAGCAGAGGAGGAAGCUCCGGCUAACUACGUGCCAGCAGCCGCGGUAAUACGUAGGGAGCGAGCGUUGUCCAGAUUUACUGGGUGUAAAGGGUGCGUAGGCGGCUUGGCAAGUCAGUAGUGAAAUCCCCGCGCUCAACGUGGGAACUGCCUUUGAAACUGGCAAACUGGAGUGUGUGAGAGGAUA
rnacentral:rRNA from 1 species